rnacentral:misc_RNA from 1 species
AGAUUUGGUUCUCUCAGGUAAAUUUUGGUCGUGACCAUCUUGUUUUUGUUGUUUCUAGACCACUUUAAGUUCUCAUAUGGGUUGUAUACUUGUAUUUAGAAUAUAAUAAAAGAUUUUUUAGAAUUGAGUUUGCAGAUUGCAGUUAAUUUGGGCAAUACAAAUUGAACUACCUUUAGUGUUGCACGGUGACAUGUUUGCUUCUUAUCUUAUUACCAUUUUAUUUA